rnacentral:rRNA from 1 species
GAUGAACGCUGGCGGCGUGCUUAACACAUGCAAGUCGAACGGUGAAGCAGAGCUUGCUCUGUGGAUCAGUGGCGAACGGGUGAGUAACACGUGAGCAACCUGCCCCUGACUCUGGGAUAAGCGCUGGAAACGGCGUCUAAUACUGGAUAUGAGCUGCGACCGCAUGGUCAGCAGUUGGAAAGAUUUUUCGGUCUGGGAUGGGCUCACGGCCUAUCAGCUUGUUGGUGAGGUAAUGGCUCACCAAGGCGUCGACGGGUAGCCGGCCUGAGAGGGUGACCGGCCACGCUGGGACUGAGACACGGCCCAGACUCCUACGGGAGGCAGCAGUGGGGAAUAUUGCACAAUGGGCGAAAGCCUGAUGCAGCAACGCCGCGUGAGGGAUGACGGCCUUCGGGUUGUAAACCUCUUUUAGCAGGGAAGAAGCGAAAGUGACGGUACCUGCAGAAAAAGCGCCGGCUAACUACGUG